rnacentral:misc_RNA from 1 species
GAUGAAGAACGCAGCGAAAUGCGAUACGUAAUGUGAAUUACAGAAUUCAGUGAAUCAUCGAAUCUUUGAACGCAUAUUGCGCUCUCUGGUAUUCCGGAGAGCAUGCUUGUUUGAGUAUCAGUAAACACCUCAACUUCCAUAUCUUUUUUGAAAUGGGAGUUGGACUUGAGUGAUCCCAACGCUUUUCCUCACCGAAAAGUGGCGGGUUACUUGAAAUGCAGGUGCAGCUGGACUUUUCUCUGAGCUAUAAGCAUAUCUAUUUAGUCUGCCUAAAAAACAGAUUAUUACCUUUGCUGCAGCUAACAUAAAGGAGAUUAGUUCUUGUGCUGACUGAUGCAGGAUUCACAAAGACGGCUUCGGCCGACUUUGUAAACUCGAUCUCAAAUCAAGUAAGACUACCCGCUGAACUUAAGCAUAUCAAUAAGCGGAGGA